AUGGCAAGGCGACCGGAAACACGACCAAAUACAAACAGUGCAACUAUUCCCUCCAAGGCAAUCAAACAAGCAAAGCAUCAGUAUAGAGACAAAGUAGAGUCGCAACUCAAUAGCUCAAACACAAAACGUAUGUGGCAGGGUCUACAGUCAAUCACGGAUUACAAAAAGAAAACUAGCCCCGUCGCGGACAUCAACGUCUUGCUCCCAGACAAAUUAAACAAGUUUAUUGCUCACUUUGAGGACAAUGCAGUGCCACUGACACGGCCUGCUACCAAAGCCUGUGGGCUCUCCUUCUCCGUGGCCGAUGUGAGUAAAACAUUUAAACGUGUUAAUCCUCGCAAGGCUGCCGGCCCAGACGGCAUCCCUAGCUUUGUCCUCAGAGCAUGCGCAGACCAGCUGGCUGGUGUGUUUACGGACAUAUUCAACCAAUCCCUAUCCCAGUCUGUUGUCCCCACAUGCUUCAAGAUGGCCACCAUUGUUCCUGUACCCAAGAAAGCUAAGGUAACUGAACUAAAUGACUAUCGCCCCAUUGCACUCACUCACCGAGUUGCACCCCUAAAAACUAAAAACAUUUGUCAUAAGAAACUAGCUCCCUGGUAUACAGAAAAUACACGAGCUCUGAAGCAAGCUUCCAGAAAAUUGGAACAGAAAUGGCGCCACACCAAACUGGAAGUCUUCCGACUAGCUUGGAAAGACAGUACUGUGCAGUAUCGAAGAGCCCUCACUGCUGCUCGAUCAUCCUAUUUUUCCAACUUAAUUGAGGAAAAUAAGAACAAUCUGAAAUUUCUUUUUGAUACUGUCUCAAAGUUAACUAAAAAGCAGCAUUCCCCAAGAGAGGAUGGCUCUCACUUCAGCAGUGAUGAAUUCAUGAACUUCUUUGAGGAAAAGAUCAUGAUCAUUAGAAAGCAAAUUACGGACUCCUCUUUAAAUCUGCGUAUUCCUCCAAAGCUCCGUUGUCCUGAGUCUGCACAACCCUGCCAGGACCUAGGAUCAAGGGAGACACUAAAGUGUUUUAGUACUAUAUCUCUUGACACAAUGAUGAAAAUAAUCAUGGCCUCUAAACCUUCAAGCUGCAUACUGGAUCCUAUUCCAACUAAACUACUGAAAGAGCUGCUUUCUGUGCUUGGCCCUCCUAUGUUGAACAUAAUAAACGGCUCUCUAUCCACCGGAUGUGUACCAAACUCACUAAAAGUGGCAGUAAUAAAGCCUCUUUUGAAAAAGCCAAAUCUUGACCCAGAAAUUAUAAAAAAAACUAUCGGCUUAUAUUGA
rnacentral:lncRNA from 8 species